rnacentral:rRNA from 1 species
UACGUAGGUGGCAAGCGUUGUUCGGAAUUAUUGGGCGUAAAGGGCGCGUAGGCGGUCUUGUAAGUCAGCUGUGAAAGCCCGGGGCUCAACCCCGCGUCGGCCAUGAAUACUGCUGGGCUGGAGCACUGUAGAGGCAGGCGGAAUUCCGGGUGUAGCGGUGGAAGCGUAGAUAUCGUAAGGAAGACCAGUGGCGAAGGCGGGUCUCUGGACAGUUCCUGACGCUGAGGCACGAAGGCCAGGGGAGCAAACGGG